AAAAAGACUCAACAACCCAUGUUU
rnacentral:miRNA from 1 species